GAUUACGACCAUACCGCGUUGAAAGCACGCCAUCCCGUCCGAUCUGGCAAGUUAAGCAACGCUGGGCUUCCUUAGUACUUGGAACGGAGACGUCCUGGGACGUCUCCGUUGAGGCAAUUUUUAAUCGGAUCGUCACAGACUCAU